rnacentral:lncRNA from 1 species
AUGUUGGCGUUGUUGGCCCAAGCGCUUUGUGGACACCGUCCACCCCCUGAGGUGUUAAAGCAGAUGCAUCUGGGUGCAGGGUCACAGGGGGAGUUUGCGACCUGGUCUGACUGUGGGGCUCCCCCUGCACCCCACCAUCAGCCUUUUCCAGGCCCGCAGGGGCCCGGACCUCAGUCACUGCUCCCUCCCCGUCUCUCUCCCACAGGUCUUGGCCUCCCCAGAUCCCAGCUCUCCUGGAGAAGAGGGGGCACCUCUGUUCUCCAGAGCCCGCCUCCAGGCAGGGCCACGCCAACACAGGUGCCGGGCCCUCAGAGAGCCAGCAGCCCUGACUCUGGACCAGACUUCCUUGCCUGGGACUCUGGAGGAUGCUCCCUUGCUGCUGGAGCUGCAGAAGCUGCCGGGAUUGGCCAACACAGACUUGAGUGCCCCGAACCCCAACAUCCAGGUGACCAUCGAGGUGGUGGAGGACCCCCAGGCUGAGGUGGAGAUGGACCUGAUGGCUGAGCCCAGCAAUCGCUGGCCCCAGGGCGCCCCCAACUGGCUGCCCACCAAGGAACUCUUCUGGCCCCUAUUCUGGGGCUACCUGGAGGGCGAGGAGGGGAGGACCAAUGUCAAGGGCAGAGCACCAGGGGAAGAGGAGGAAGUGGAGGAGGAGGGUUACCCUCCAGAGUACAGUGAGACUGAGGACCAGGAGGACGACGACGAGGAAGACGACGAUGACAAGGAGCCUGGGUUCAGUGGGGCCACAGGAGGCCUGGAGCAGGGCUGGCUGUCCCCUGGGGACUGGGCCUUCAAGGAGCCAGACAGCUAUGAUGUGGACAGCUGUGAGAAGUGGCUGAACUGCAAGAGUGACUUCCUAGCCAAGUACCUGAGCCAG